UGCCAGCAGCCGCGGUAAUACGGAGGGUGCAAGCGUUGCUCGGAAUCACUGGGCGUAAAGCGUACGCAGGCGGUUCGUUAAGUCGGGUGUGAAAGCCCAGAGCUCAACUCUGGAAUUGCGCCCGAUACUGGCGGACUUGAGUACGGGAGAGGGAAGCGGAAUUCCUGGUGUAGAGGUGAAAUUCGUAGAUAUCAGGAGGAACACCAGUGGCGAAAGCGGCUUCCUGGUCCGAUACUGACGCUCAUGUACGAAAGCGUGGGGAGCAAACAGGAUUAGAUA
rnacentral:rRNA from 1 species